AAUGGCCUAACGGCUGAACCAGCAACUUGGAGGAAUGAAUAGCAAUUGCUAAUUGCACAUAUAUAUGAUGCAAUAUCGACUCAGUCGAAUAAAGUUCUGGGUAUAAUUAUGAUAAUGACAUUUAUUACCCAUGUGUCUUGACCAAAUUACGUGCCAGCAGUCGCGGUAAUACGUAGAAGACUAGUGUUAUUCAUCUUUAAUAGGUUUAAAGGGUACCUAGACGGUAGAUAAAGCCCCUGCAUAGCAUAACGGAACUAAUUUACUAGAGUUACUUACGCGGGGGUUUUAAAGUACUAAUGGUGUAGAGAUAAAAUUUUGUAAUACCAUUUUUCGAAAGAAAAGUAUUGGCACUGGUAAAGGCGAAAGCAUCCCCUUAUGUGAUAACUGACGUUGAAGGACGAAGGCUUUGGAUCGCGAAUAGGAUUAGAUACCCUAGUAGUCAAAGCAGACAAUUAUGAGUGUCAUGGAUUAGAAAUUUAAUUUUAUUCCAUAAAUGAAAAUGUAAGCACUCCACCUCAAGAGUAACUUGGCAACAUUGGAACUGAAAUCAUUAGACCGUUUCUGAAACCAGUAGUGAAGUAUGUUGUUUAAUUAGAUAAUCCGCUAAAAACCUUACCACAGCUUGAAUGUUUAUAUAUUUUAUAUAUUCACAAGUGUUGCACGGCUGUCUUCAGUUAAUGUCGUGAGAUUUUGGUUAGAUCCAUUAAAUUAACGCAAGCCCUUACUUUAUUUUUAAAUAAAGUAGUUCCCCAUUAUAUCGGAUAUGAUAACAGGGACUAAGACAAGUCAUCAUGGCCUGAAUGCUGUGGGCUAUAGACGUGCCACAUAGACCUUUACAAAAGGAUGUGAAAUUGCGAAAUUAAACUAAUCCCACAAAACUGGAUAUAACUUUAAU
rnacentral:rRNA from 1 species